AUCUAUUUUUACUUACUGCACUUUAUAACUUUCACAUAAUACAUUAUGAUACCAAAUCAGAAUUUGAAUAUGCCAUAGUGAAAUAUACUUUCACUUACAAUUUGGAAGAUCCUCUAUGUUAAAAUGAUAUUCAUACCGAUAUUUCCAAUUGCAUUUCAAAAUACCAAUAUUUUGGUAACAGUGAAAAAUAAAUUAACGCUUCACAUAUCGGACUAAAAUAUGACUACAAAAUAAAUUAAGUAAUCAAGUUAAUUGCAAAGGAGUGGAAAAAAAUCUAUUUGGACUAACUGCACAAUACCAAUGAUAUUUAUUG